rnacentral:rRNA from 1 species
CCUACGGGGGGCAGCAGUGGGGAAUAUUGGACAAUGGGCGAAAGCCUGAUCCAGCCAUGCCGCGUGUGUGAAGAAGGCCUUCGGGUUGUAAAGCACUUUCAGUGGGGAAGAAAGCCUUGGGGCUAAUACCCUCGAGGAAGGACAUCACCCACAGAAGAAGCACCGGCUAACUCCGUGCCAGCAGCCGCGGUAAUACGGAGGGUGCGAGCGUUAAUCGGAAUUACUGGGCGUAAAGCGCGCGUAGGCGGUCUGAUAAGCCGGUUGUGAAAGCCCCGGGCUCAACCUGGGAACGGCAUCCGGAACUGUCAGGCUAGAGUGCAGGAGAGGAAGGUAGAAUUCCCGGUGUAGCGGUGAAAUGCGUAGAGAUCGGGAGGAAUACCAGUGGCGAAGGCGGCCUUCUGGACUGACACUGACACUGAGGUGCGAAAGCGUGGGUAGCAAACAGGAUUAGAUACCCCAGUAGUC